GGCCUGCACGCGGCGGUUAAUUAGCAUCGGAUUGAUAGGCAUAAAACUACCUGAAAAUACAAGAACUUCGACGUUUCAAGCGAGGGCUGUUUGUCUGGAAAAUAGUGGCGACGAAGAACCGAAGUUCUUGUGUUUUUCAAGUUGUUGAAUCCUUAUCAACCCGAAGCUUUCUUAUUAUUCACACUAUUGUUCAUUGUAUUUGUAGUCUUAUCGAUCCCAUCGAAGCAUUAAUAAAGUUAGUUCCACAAUAUGAAACGCACCUCCGUCCUACCAUAGAAAAUCUUGAAGAAACAUGCGUGGUUUAUCCAACUGGUUCCAAAAAGCAAGCACCACCACCAACAGUAGGAACACUACGUCCUGGUGCUACUGUCAAGAUAGUCAAAGUAGGACCAACCGAUUCUGGCAACAUUCAGCUGGUUGAUUGCGUUGUAUUGCUAUUCAGCUUCAUUGUUGUGAAACUGUUUGCCUGAAAAACUUGAUGUCUUUCUCACUGUGUUGUGUUUUUAGCUUUAAACUUUAUUUUACGGGAAAAUGGGGAAAGUAUUUUUCACUAGGAAACGUCUUGUAUUGACGUGUGCAUGGGCAACUAUUCUUGAACUUUAACAUUUUAAAAAUUCAGCCAUCCCUGUCUUCUUUGCGGAGUCGUGGGCAACUGAUUACAUUUGCCAGCAGCAAAUUACAUUAGCAGAGCGAGACAGAGUGGCGGCGAUCCAUUGAACUCAACACCUAAAACGCUGCCCCUAUAUAGAAAUAUAAUUGAAUAAAGAUAAGCAGUACGGAGUAUAGGGUUUGGAUAAACGCCACCAAAAACUACGUUCAAAGUUCAUCCACACAUGUCAUGAAAUACUGCAUUUCGGUGUUUCCACUUCCUAGUUCUUUCUGGCACUAAACCUCUACUCUAAUAUUUAACUAAUUCUCGUCCACCAAUAUGGAAAACACCCGACUAAUAACAGGUUUCUAUGAAGGUAAGCGUUCCAAAAUGUUUUGAGUUCAAUGGCUUUUUGUACAUCGUUGGAUAUAUUUAUGAGAACGGUGGAUUACAGUGCACACUAGAUAUUUUAUCACUUGAUACUUGUGAUGUUUUUGUUUUAUUUGGCAAUAAAAAUAGAUUACACUAUAUUUUGCUCUUUUUU
rnacentral:lncRNA from 1 species